CUUUCUCAAGCGAGUGGCGAACGGGUGAGUAACGCGUGAGGAACCUGCCUCAAAGAGGGGGACAACAGUUGGAAACGACUGCUAAUACCGCAUGACACAUAGAUGUCGCAUGGCAUUUAUGUCAAAGAUUUAUCGCUGAAAGAUGGCCUCGCGUCUGAUUAGCUAGUUGGUGAGGUAACGGCCCACCAAGGCGACGAUCAGUAGCCGGUCUGAGAGGAUGAACGGCCACAUUGGGACUGAGAUACGGCCCAGACUCC
rnacentral:rRNA from 1 species